CAGAAUUACUGGACCCUGGCUGCAGCUAUUAAAUUCAACGCAAAUCCCCUUGAACCCUAAAAAUGCAUUUGGCCCCCUUCAUGGUGGCUGAAUCCUGAUUCAGACGGGUCACAGAAUUACUGGACCCUGGCUGCAGUUAUUAAAUACAGCUGAAAUAAAUCUCCAUCAACUCUUAAUAAACUGCAUUUGAUCAAUUUAUAACACCUAAAUCUUAAUUUAGUUAGACUAGGGUUAGGGUCUGCCAGUUAAAUGGCUGAGAUGUUUCCUCCCAAACCUGGAAGAAAUUUGCAUCAGUUUGUCAUCUUCUACAAUGGACGCAGCAGAGAAUGAGAAAAAAGCCUCUUGGGCUAUUUAUUCACCAAGCAGCACUUCAGCAUUAUGGUUGCUUGAAAUGUCAAGAUCUUCAUAUACGUCAAGGCACCACUGUCUACUGCUGACAACAUUUCAGGUUUGUCAUCUUUUCAAUGGGGGUUCUGUGGGUCUCAGGGAAAUGGGACAUGGAGAGGGCAACUUUCUUUGUUUUCUUCAAAAUCCAGGAAACCAGCAAAAGAAUCAGCCAAUACUUUGACAUCAGCAUCAUCUUUGGACAUCCGGAAGAUAAACCUGCUUCAUCAGGAACCCUUAAUAAUCUCCACUUGCCCCCUCCAUAGAAGUAUAAAUUUAGGCCUAAUGGGUCAUGGCUGAAUGUUAAUUCAGAUGGGUUAUAUGAUUACUGGACCCGGGCUGCAGCUAUUAAAUACAGCUCAAAUCCCCUUUAACGCAUAAGAAUGCAUUUGGCCUCCUUCAUGGUGGCCGAAUCCUAAUUCAGAUGGGUCAUAGAAUUACUGGAUCCUGGCUGCAGCUAUUAAAUAGAGCUCAAAUCCCCUU
rnacentral:lncRNA from 1 species